UUCAUAACUGAAAAAAUUAUGGACAUUAACAAACAAACAAAAAAAAAAGCCACUUCAGUGAGAAUAAGAGCACUCAAAGUGCCAUGCAAUCAUCCAGCAUCCCUCCUUGGUGAACAAGCUACUAUCCUCAACAUCUUUAGUAACCAGCAUACCAGCAUACCUCCUCAGCAUCAAGCCCAUCACCAUCACCUGUGGCAAUUCUUCCAAAUGAGGUCCUCACAAAAGAACAGACAUUGUUUUUAAUAGACCUGAUGCUGCAACACAUCGGGGCCGAAGGUGAUGGGCUCCCUAAAAGCCUGAAAGAACUUAACAACCAACUUAAAUCUGCCAAAACCAAUAAAAAACUGCGCUUCUGCCCUGAUAAAGUGGCCAGGAAAUGGAGCACCCUUGUUGACGGUUACAAGAAGGUAAAAGACAAUAACAGCAGUACGUGGGAAGGGAGCCAUGCGCUUCCAGUUCUAUGCUGAAAUGGACGACCUUCUGGGAGGACGACAUGAUGUCUUUCCUGUGGUGGGGACAUCGGAGAGACUAGAGGUGCGCCGACCUGAGGUGCUAGGCCAUUGCAGCAGUGGGACUACUAUAGCUAGCACUGCAUGCAGCUCUCCAUCCAGCCCACCUUCCACACCAAUGCAGUCACCAACACAGUCACGCAAGCGCAGAAGGGUGGACGAUGAGGUUCUGCAGUUUCUAAAAGAGUCCGAAGAAGCAAGUCGGCGGUGUUAUGAAGAGACACUUGCACAAUUCAGGUCUGCACAGCAGGGCUUUAAGUUGCUGUUGACCAGGUUGUUGGACAAGCUGUAAACCAAAAUUAUUUUGUAAUGUAAUUUUGUAAUUUUGUGUUUUAUGUUCUACUGUAUAUUUGUACAUAAAACUGUUUAACUUUUUUUUAUAUUAAUCUGUUACACUGUUAACCCAAAAGUUCAUUCUAUGCAAACAGUUUGAUUAAAUACCACUUUUAAAGAUUAGUUUUACUGCAUUACUUAAACAGUAUGAGUAUAUGAAGAGUGUAUGAGACAGUCAUUGGGUGUACUCAUUUUUGUAAGUUUAACAAACUUAAACUAUCAAGUUUUACCUCAGGUGACGGUGCUGCCCUGUUGUGAUUGGCUCAAAACUCAAGAAGAACAUUUGCCUGCCGUAAAGAGGAUACCAUUUCUGUCUGAAUAAGGUUGAUGAGUGAAGUUGUUUUCUAUAUUCAAGUAUUAUAAACUGCUGGAACAUUUCUAGUUUGAAAUGUGUACAUUUGAAUGUGUGUAAAUUUGACGUUGACAUUUUUAGUGUUGGACAAUUGCGACAAUUGUGAUUUUGGAGUGGUUCUCUCUACUUGUGUCUUUAAAUUUCUUGUAUUUUUUGUGUUACAUACAUUGUUGGAGCUAUAUUCUUAUUUUUGUUUAUUUUGGGUUUGAGUUAAUUUAUAGCCCAAUUUAUUUCUUUUCUUUUCUUGUUAAAGUUAAUUUGGUUUAUUUUGUAUUUAUGCUUUACUUGCAUUGUGGUUUGUUGGUCACAUGGUGUUAUGUUCAUUUGCAUAAGUAGGUCAAGGUGAGAGGUGCCGCAGGCACGAGGGCAUAUGGUUUUUUACCAGCGUGAGAGAGGCAGCAGAAAUGUCUGUGAGCUUGCUUAUGUGUGUGAAUAAACCUCCUCAAACUCAA